ACGGCCUAAAGCGUGAUUAAAUUAUAUUAAGAUAAAUAGAAAUAAAAAUUAACUCAACUGUUAUACGUUUGUGUUAAACGGUAAACCAAAGACGAAAGAUAUUCUAACAAACAAAUUAUUUGAACCCACGAAAGCUAAGAAACAAACUAGGAUUAGAUACCCUACUAUGCUUAACCCUAAACUUUGGGACCACCCCGCCUGAGUACUACGAGCCACAGCUUAAAACUCAAAGGACUUGGCGGUGCUCUACACCCCCCUAGAGGAGCCUGUUCUAUAAUUGAUACCCCCCGCUAAACCUCACCACUCAUUGCCAAUACCGCCUAUAUACCGCCGUCGUCAGCUCACCAUUUGAAUGAAGAAUAGUAGGCAUAAUGAUAAACAUAAGAACGUCAGGUCAAGGUGUAGCGAAUUGAGUGGAAAGAAAUGGGCUACAUUUUCUAAACUAGAAAAAUACGAAAAAUUUCAUGAAAAACUAUUUAAAGGUGGAUUUAGCAGUAAAAAGAAAAUAGAGUGUUCUUUUUAAAUAGGCCAUAGAGCGCGCACACACCGCCCGUCACCCUCCUCAGAAAAACCAAUAAUUAUAUAAUAAAAGAAAAUAAAAGAAGAGGUAAGUCGUAACAUGGUAAGUUUACCGGAAGGUGUACUUGGAUUAU
rnacentral:rRNA from 1 species